rnacentral:rRNA from 1 species
AGCGAACGCUGGCGGCAGGCCUAAUACAUGCAAGUCGUGGGGCAGCGCAGAGUAGCAAUACUUGGGCGGCGACCGGCAAACGGGUGCGGAACACGUACACAACCUUCCUACAAGUGGGGAAUAGCCCAGAGAAAUUUGGAUUAAUACCCCGUAACAUAGCGAUGUGGCAUCACAUUGCUAUUAUAGCUUCGGCGCUUGUUGAUGGGUGUGCGGCUGAUUAGAUAGUUGGCGGGGUAACGGCCCACCAAGUCUACGAUCAGUAGCUGAUGUGAGAGCAGGAUCAGCCACACGGGCACUGAGACACGGGCCCGACUCCUACGGGAGGCAGCAGUAAGGAAUAUUGGUCAAUGGACGCAAGUCUGAACCAGCCAUGCCGCGUGAAGGAUUAAGGUCCUCUGGAUUGUAAACUUCUUUUAUCUGGGACGAAAAAAGGCGAUUCUUCGUCACUUGACGGUACCAGAUGAAUAAGCACCGGCUAACUCCGUGCCAGCAGCCGCCGUAAUAC